rnacentral:rRNA from 1 species
GAUGAACGCUGGCGGCGUGCCUAAUACAUGCAAGUCGAGCGAACAGACGAGGAGCUUGCUCCUCUGACGUUAGCGGCGGACGUGUGAGUAACACGUGGAUAACCUACCUAUAAGACUGGGAUAACUUCGGGAAACCGGAGCUAAUACCGGAUAACAUGUUGAACCGCAUGGUUCAACAGUGAAAGACGGUCUUGCUGUCACUUAUAGAUGGAUCCGCGCCGCAUUAGCUAGUUGGUAAGGUAACGGCUUACCAAGGCAACGAUGCGUAGCCGACCUGAGAGGGUGAUCGGCCACACUGGAACUGAGACACGGUCCAGACUCCUACGGGAGGCAGCAGUAGGGAAUCUUCCGCAAUGGGCGAAAGCCUGACGGAGCAACGCCGCGUGAGUGAUGAAGGUCUUCGGAUCGUAAAACUCUGUUAUUAGGGAAGAACAAAUGUGUAAGUAACUAUGCACGUCUUGACGGUACCUAAUCAGAAAGCCACGGCUAACUACGUG